AUCACUUCUCAGCCUUUUGGCUAAGAGCAGGCGUAGUAUCUGUUCUUAUCAGUUUAAUAUCUGAUACGUCCUCUCGCAGAGAACGAUCUAUAACGUCUCGUGGAUUUGGGGAAACAGGAGACGCGACAGGAGCUUGCUUCGUCCGUUCCAUGCCUCGACCUGGUACUGCAGUACUUCCAGAGAGACGGUGCACCAAAA